UACGUAGGGUGCGAGCGUUGUCCGGAAUUAUUGGGCGUAAAGAGCUUGUAGGCGGUUUGUCGCGUCUGCUGUGAAAAUCCGGGGCUCAACCUCGGACUUGCAGUGGGUACGGGCAGACUAGAGUGUGGUAGGGGAGAUUGGAAUUCCUGGUGUAGCGGUGGAAUGCGCAGAUAUCAGGAGGAACACCAAUGGCGAAGGCAGAUCUCUGGGCCGUAACUGACGCUGAGGAGCGAAAGCAUGGGGAGCGAACAGG
rnacentral:rRNA from 1 species